rnacentral:rRNA from 1 species
AACGAACGCUGGCGGCAUGCCUAACACAUGCAAGUCGAGCGAGAUCUUCGGGUCUAGUGGCGCACGGGUGCGUAACGCGUGGGAAUCUGCCCUUUGGUUCGGAAUAACAGUUGGAAACGACUGCUAAUACCGGAUGAUGACGAAAGUCCAAAGAUUUAUCGCCAGAGGAUGAGCCCGCGUAGGAUUAGCUAGUUGGUGUGGUAAAGGCGCACCAAGGCGACGAUCCUUAGCUGGUCUGAGAGGAUGAUCAGCCACACUGGGACUGAGACACGGCCCAGACUCCUACGGGAGGCAGCAGUGGGGAAUAUUGGACAAUGGGCGAAAGCCUGAUCCAGCAAUGCCGCGUGAGAGAUGAAGGCCUUAGGGUUGUAAAGCUCUUUUACCCGGGAUGAUAAUGACAGUACCGGGAGAAUAAGCUCCGGCUAACUCCGUGCCAGCAGCCGCGGUAA